GACGUAGGGGGCAAGCGUUGUUCGGAAUUAUUGGGCGUAAAGCGCUCGUAGGCGGGACUGUAAGUCCGUGUUGAAAGACCUCGGCUCAACUGAGGGACCGGCGCGGAUACUAUAGUUCUUGAGGCAAUCAGAGGGUGAUGGAAUUCCCGGUGUAGCGGUGAAAUGCGUAGAGAUCCGGAAGAACACCAGUGGCGAAGGCGGCCCGCUGGGCAGUGGCUGACGCUGAGGCGCGACAGCGUGGGGAGCAAACAGG
rnacentral:rRNA from 1 species